AACGUAGGAGACAAACGUUAUCCGGAUUUACUGGGCGUAAAGGGCGUGUAGGUGGUUUUGUAAGUCUGGCGUGAAAUUUUUCGGCUUAACCGGGAAAGGUCGUCGGAUACUGCAGGACUAGAGGACGGUAGAGGCGUGUGGAAUUCCGGGUGUAGUGGUGAAAUGCGUAGAGAUCCGGAGGAACACCAGUGGCGAAGGCGACACGCUGGGCCGUACCUGACACUGAUGCGCGACAGCAUGGGGAGCAAACAGG
rnacentral:rRNA from 1 species